rnacentral:rRNA from 1 species
UCCCGGGGUAGCAAUACCUCGGGGGAAGUGGCGAAAGGGGCAGUAAUACCUGGAUAACCUACCCUGGGGAUGGGCAUAGCCGUUCUAACGGGCGGGUAAUACCCAGCGAUUCGACCAGUUGGCAUCAAUUGGUCGGGAAAUGAGUUUCGCCUCGGGAGGGGUCCAGGCGCUAUCAGCUAGUUGGUGGGGUAACGGCCCACCAAGGCUUAGACGGCUAGCGGGUGUGAGAGCACGACCCGCGCCACUGGCACUGAGACACUGGCCAGACACCUACGGGUGGCUGCAGUCGAGGAUCUUCGUCAAUGGGCGCAAGCCUGAACGAGCGAUGCCGCGUGAGCGAUGAAGGCCUUCGGGUUGUAAAGCUCAAAAGGGGUGAGAAAGGGCAACUUGAUCGAACCCCAGUAAGCUCGGGCUAAGUUCGUGCCAGCAGCCGCGGUAAGACGAACCGAGCGAACGUUGUUCGGAAUCACUGGGCUUAAAGGGCGCGUAGGCGGGUGCUCAAGUCUGUGGUGAAAUCCUCCGGCUCAACCGGAGAACUGCCAUGGAUACUGGGUGUCUCGAGGGUGGUAGGGGUAUGCGGAACUAUCGGUGGAGCGGUGAAAUGCGUUGAUAUCGAUAGGAACUCCGGUGGCGAAGGCGGCAUACUGGACCACUUCUGACGCUGAGGCGCGAAAGCCAGGGGAGCGAACGGGAUUAGAUACCCCGGUAGUCCUGGCCCUAAACGAUGGGUACUAGCUAGUAGGGUUCACAUGGCUUUACUGGCGAAGCAAAAGUGCUAAGUACCCCGCCUGGGGAGUAUGGUUGCAAGGCUGAAACUC